rnacentral:rRNA from 1 species
UUACAGCCAUACCACCCUGAACUUGGAAGCUAAGCAGGGUUGGGUCUGGUUAGCACUUGGAAGGGAGG